UACGGAGGAUCCGAGCGUUAUCCGGAUUUAUUGGGUUUAAAGGGUGCGUAGGUGGAAGUAUAAGUCAGUUGUGAAAGUUUACGGCUCAACCGUGAAAUUGCAAUUGAAACUGUAUUUCUUGAGUGUACAUGAGGUAGGCGGAAUUCGUGGUGUAGCGGUGAAAUGCUUAGAUAUCACGAAGAACUCCAAUUGCGAAGGCAGCUUACUAAGGUACAACUGACACUGAGGCACGAAAGUGUGGGUAUCAAACAGG
rnacentral:rRNA from 1 species